ACAAGGUGGCGACUCAUACAUUCACGUGCAUUUCUGCCCUUAGUCACAUGCAUUCACAUGCCUAUGUGUUUUCGGGGGGAGGGGUUCACACACGCGACAGAAGCUACUGCUUCUCUCCCUCUGCCCGUGCUCCGGCCACCGGUCGGUGAAGACAAGACACCAUCAUGUUUCUCCAGUCCCGAUAAGAAUGUUUCCUGCCAUGGUUUGAUCAUUUAGCUCCCGUUUUCACGAAUUAAAGGAUUAAAUUUUUGUUAUUUUUAAGUCUUUGGUUGAGUUUUGCUGUUCUGGAGGCUAUUCUGAUCUGGUAAGCUUGAAUACGUGUUUUUGUGGGAGUUAUGUUUGAUUCUUACCUCAAUUUAGAAUUUGAUAAAAGAAUUGAGUGAUUUGAAGUUGGAUCUAUAAAUUGAGAAUUUUGAGGAUUUGCUAUAAUUAGUCACAAUUCUAAGAAAUUAACUUUAAAUUUUCACAGUAAAUUUUGAGGAACUUGGACUGUGGUUUUGUCGAAUUUGGUGAAGUUUCGAUUUUCUGCAAUUUGGGGAUUGAUUUUCUGUUGAAAUUUGGAGAGUGAUUUAAGGGUCCUGUUGAUGUUGAUUUUGCUUCAAUGGCUAAUCUGUUGAAUUUUGCUUUAAUGGCAAAUCUGGAAAAUAACUAGUUACUAAUCCAAAAAGAUUGAAGGAUCCUUUGAAAUUUGUUCAGUGUUUGUUGGAUGAAAAAGAUAAGUAUGGUGUCUUUGAAUUCAAUAAUGAUAAGACAUUUCAUAAUGCUUUGAAUUCCUCUUUUCAUUGACUUGAAUCCUCGCUCUCCAGAAUUCAUCUCAUUGUUCGUGGACGACGAACUUCGAAAAAAUCUAAUGGGAGUUGGUGAGGAAGAAAGCCAACUUUUGUUCUUGAUAAAACGCUUUCGUUUUAAUAUGUAAGAGCAUUUUAGUAAAUUUUAUUCUGUCGUUUUAAUAUAAAUUUUAUUCAAGCCUAGUUGACUCAGUCGAACGGGGUUGGUAAAAACACUUCCCAUGUGAGGUGGCUCUCCUAUAGGAAUUAGGGUUUCUUCCAGCCUGCCUGUGUUACGACAACAUGGACUAUGGAAGAGGAGGUCAGUCAGGGAUGGCUUCCUGAUCCUCAGGUUGCUCCUCUUCUCUCCUUCUAUGGUUCUACCCUAUUCAGUCUUAUUGUUCUAUACCUUCUCAUCGCUGCCGUCGCUCGCGGCUGUCGCCUUCGCAGCAGUCUUACUCUUCAACCGUAUUACCAGUGCGAGGUUCCUCCACUUCCAUUCUUGAUCUUCUUUUUACUUAAUUCUGAAUUUAUUUUAUUUCCUUCUUUGCCUUUGUUUCUUUUCCUUUUCCUUUUUUUUUUUUAAUAUAAAUACAUAUAAACGGACAAAGAUGAGGAAUUGUUGAAUAUAUUGUUGAAUUAAUUUGUGGGUUUAACCGAGGGAGACAAAGAUAGAUGUUUAAUGUUUUAUUUUUUCAUUUGUGGGUUUUGUGCAUGUUUUAUUUGUUAUUUUCCAUUUAAAAUGGAUUACUUUUUCAGGUGAAAUUAUUAUGUUUAUAUCCUAGAUGAAACAGGAGCUGUAUUUGUUGAAUUUAUCUUCCCUUUUUUUCUCCCCAGAUUGCAAAAAUCUUGGAAUGUAAAAUGUGCGGAGUCCAAGAAUGUGAUUAGGCAUUUUCAGGUUUGGAUUCGGGUUUCAAACAGGUUCAGUUUUCAAAUGGAUUGAUUGAAUUUAUGAUUAAAUGGGUAAUUUAAAUGGGUUCAAGCAAUAUACGGGUAGCUCUAAACGGAUUCAGUAUUGUUGGUUUAUUCCUUAAUAGAUUUGGAACGGGUAGGGGUACUUGAAUUGACAAUCGGGUUUGGGUUUGUGUAGUUGAUUUCUAGCGGGUACCCGCCCCGCUGCCAUCUGUCGUUGCAAGUAAAUGUAAUUUUAUUGUAAAUUAUAAUAUUACCAAACAGUUUAUAUUAUUAACAAAAA